rnacentral:tRNA from 1 species
GGGCGCUUAGCUCAGCUGGUUCAGAGCACCUGCCUUACAAGCAGGGGGUCACUGGUUCGAAUCCAGUAGCGCCCA